CACACUUGUGUUUAAGAUGUGUGGCCGAACCAUGCUUGUACUUGAAUAUAAAAAAUAUAAAUUGAUUUUCAAUAUCAAAAUCUAUAUAUUAUGUAUAUUUACAGCUUGAGUACAAGAGGAGCCUAAAGGCCUAAAUAAGCUAGCCUAACCCAAUUACAAUCAACCCUCAGUACAGCCUUGCUGACGGUGAAGAGAAGCUUUUAGCACCGCUGCCGCCUGCUUUCCAUUACUAAGGCCAAAUGGUAUUCGUCUCUCUGGUAGCUUGAAAAACGCAAUCUCCAGAGCCAUGCAAAGCUAAAGCUACUUGCUUAAGACUUUGAAACAACAACCUUCAAACUAGCACCUUCAACGCCACCGUGAGGACUCUAGGAGAGCUCCACAGUUAGUUUUGGGAGAGAGGAAACAGAGGAUCUGGCAUCUCACUCUCGUUUAGUUAAGAUGGCACCUGUCAUCCAACACCAUGUUUUCACUUCGUUUUCCAAGAAGAGCCUUCCCAAAACCAUUGUAACGUCAAUAAAAACAAAUAUACAAAACCAUAAAGCACAAGAAGUUCUCAACAAACCCCCCCCCCCCCUUCUACCACAGAAAUCCUAUAUCACAAUCCAUCAAUUUCUGUCCCUAAAUCCAUUACUACCUAGUUGCAAAUUUUUCUUGUUUCAAUGAAUAAAUCCAUUACUUUAAAUAAUUUACACACGUUAUAUAAUAAUGGUUGUCCUUUUAGAUUUU
rnacentral:lncRNA from 1 species